UACGGAGGGGGCUAGCGUUGUUCGGAAUUACUGGGCGUAAAGCGCACGUAGGCGGUUGUUCAAGUCAGAGGUGAAAGCCUGGAGCUCAACUCCAGAAUUGCCUUUGAAACUAGACAGCUUGAAUCCAGGAGAGGUGAGUGGAAUUCCGAGUGUAGAGGUGAAAUUCGUAGAUAUUCGGAAGAACACCAGUGGCGAAGGCGGCUCACUGGACUGGUAUUGACGCUGAGGUGCGAAAGCGUGGGGAGCAAACAGG
rnacentral:rRNA from 1 species